rnacentral:rRNA from 1 species
GACGAACGCUGGCGGCGUGCCUAAUACAUGCAAGUCGAACGCAGUGGGGACGGGUGAGUAACACGUGGGUAACCUCCCAUCAGAGGGGAUAACACUUGGAAACAGGUGCUAAACCGAUACUGAUGGAUGGACCCGCGGUGCAUUAGCUAGUUGGUGAGGUAACGGCUCACCAAGGCCACGAUGCAUAGCCAACAGUGGAGGUGUAUGGGCAACAUGGGGACUGAUAAACGGACCGGACGCCUACGGGAGGCAGCAGUAGGGAAGCUGCGGCAAUGGACGAAAGUCGGACCGAGCAACGCCGCGUGAGUGAAGAAGGUUUUCGGAUCGUAAAACUCUGUUGUUAGAGAAGCGGUAUCUAACCAGAAAGCCACGGCUAACUACGUGCCAGCCGCCGCGGUAAUAC